AAGAGUUUAAUAAAACUCCUAAACCCCUGUGAACUUACUGGUGUUUGGCUCGCCAGAUAUAGUCUGGUCCGUAAGCAAAUCGACUGCCUGCCUGUGUAACAGGCAGGUAAGCUUUUGUCGCGGGGUCCCGGAUCAACCCGGGCUAGAUAGCCACUUAACUAUAUACUUUUUAUAAAAUCUGUGAACUUACUAGGUUGGAUUCUCGCCAGAGAUAGUCUGGUUUCUGCUUCGCGGAUCGCCUACCCGUGACACCUGUCACAGGCAGGUAUGCUUCUGCCGCGGGUCCGUAAGUAAAUCAUCUGUUUCGCAAGGGACGGCGAUUUACCUGUGGAAGAGGUCCUCUAACUAUAUUCUUAGUAUAGUUUGUUCACUAGAUCAAACAUUCUGAAUAAAAACUUAAACUAGUUAAAACUUUCAACAACGGAUCUCUUGGUUCUGGCAUCGAUGAAGAACGCAGCGAAAUGCGAUAAGUAAUGUGAAUUGCAGAAUUCAGUGAAUCAUCGAAUCUUUGAACGCACAUUGCGCCCAUUAGUAUUCUAGUGGGCAUGCCUGUUCGAGCGUCAUUUCAACCCUUAAGCCCCUGUUGCUUAGCGUUGGGAGCCUACAGCCUGCUGUAGCUCCUUAAAGGUAGUGGCGGAGUCGGUUCACACUCUAGACGUAGUAAAAUCUUUAUCUCGCCUAUGGAUGAGCCGGCGCCUUGCCGUAAAACCCCUAAUCUUUCACAAGGUUGACCUCGGAUCAGGUAGGAAUACCCGCUGAACUUAAGCAUAUCAAUAAGCGGAGGAAAAGAAACCAACAGGGAUUGCCCUAGUAACGGCGAGUGAAGCGGCAACAGCUCAAAUUUGAAAUCUGGCCUUCGGGUCCGAGUUGUAAUUUGCAGAGGAUGCUUUGGGCGCGGUGCCUUCCGAGUUCCCUGGAACGGGACGCCUUAGAGGGUGAGAGCCCCGUACGGUUGGACACCAAGCCUCUGUAAAGCUCCUUCGACGAGUCGAGUAGUUUGGGAAUGCUGCUCUAAAUGGGAGGUAAAUUUCUUCUAAAGCUAAAUAUUGGCCAGAGACCGAUAGCGCACAAGUAGAGUGAUCGAAAGAUGAAAAGCACUUUGAAAAGAGGGUUAAAUAGCACGUGAAAUUGUUGAAAGGGAAGCGUUUACGACCAGACCUUUUCGCAGCGGAUCAUCCGGUGUUCUCACCGGUGCACUUCGCUGGGUUGAGGCCAGCAUCGGUUUCCGCAGGGGGAUAAAAGCCUGGGGAACGUAGCUCCCUCGGGAGUGUUAUAGCCCCUCGCAUAAUACCCUUGCGGGGACCGAGGACCGC
rnacentral:rRNA from 1 species